GUGGAUUAGAUACCCUAGUAGUCCACGCCGUAAACGUUGGGCGCUAGGUGUGGGGAACCUUCCACGUUCUCCGUGCCGUAGCUAACGCAUUAAGCGCCCCGCCUGGGGAGUACGGCCGCAAGGCUAAAACUCAAAGGAAUUGACGGGGGCCCGCACAAGCGGCGGAGCAUGCGGCUUAAUUCGAUGCAACGCGAAGAACCUUACCUAGGCUUGACAUAUACCGAAAACUCAUAGAGAUAUGGGGUCCGCAAGGGCGGUAUACAGGUGGUGCACGGCCGUCGUCAACU
rnacentral:rRNA from 1 species